GGGAAGGUGGCUCAGUGGUAGAGCGCUUGCCUUGCAUACCUGAGGCCCUGGGUUCAAUUCCCAGUGCCA
rfam:Dipodomys ordii contig_19103, whole genome shotgun sequence.